AGCCAAUAAGCCAGCUUUUGUACUUAACUCGUAUGUUAAGUGGAAAGUUUGAGCCACAUUCAUGAGAGUAAAGUACAAACAAGACCAAAUCAAUUUGUUUUGGUUCAGAGGAUGCUGAACGUUGUUGCCGUGUUCAUAACGGUGCCCACUCACUCACUGUUUUCUAUUAUUUCUCAGGACUGGACAAACCUUUCAAACGGAGACAGAUCUGGACUGCAAGCAGGCCAGUGAAUUCAUUUGACGAUGGCAGAAUAAAUCCAAGCUGUCCAGCAUAUAGCAGAAUCUGUCUGAAGGAGAGACGGUCAACACUUGGACGGUUGAUUUUACAGCGGCACAGGAUGAGACAAUUCCACUGUGGAGGGAAAAGUGACGAGCUGGUGAAUCCUCUGCCUCCUGAUUCCUGAUCUGAGCCAGGGACGUGGUCGCCCGCGGGCCGAGAAGCGUCACCAAAACCUGUCAUCAGUCUUCACCUCCGGCAGGUUUAAAAGUAAUAAGAACAAGGAGCAACAAUUAGAGGGAGAACCGUCGUUCCCCACAGCUGUGGACAAGCUGUAAACCCUCAACUGAAAGGCAAUAAACUGCAACAGGGUCCCGAGCUAACUGUUCAUGUUCUCAUCAUUGUGUUGUCCCCUGGUUUAUAGUUAACACUUGUUAAACUUUACAAGCAGCCAUCUUCAAUACUUGCUGCUAAUUUGAACUUUAUUGUGUUCACAUACACAAUGACAAUUAUUCUCUCUUUUCUCCGACUUUAUUAAGUCAACUAAGGAAAAGCAAACAGACACAGCUGGUUCUGGGGACAUGAAAAUAAAAACGUGUCAGUAAAUGUUAA